AACCACGGAAAUUUAUGUUGAGCUAACAGCGCAGAUUUAACAGUAAUUACCGACCAUCUUUCUCUCCUGGCAACAGACCUUACUUACAUCGUCCCGGAACGGACACGCGAUUAACCUCGAUGCCAUCAUCUCCGAUAAUUGCCAGUUCUAUCCGAACAACUUAUCUCUAUUUGAUUGAUAUGAUCGAUUACCCAGAACAAAAAACUGAUUACCUACCUCGGCCGAAGCUGCACGAGCUUCAUUAAGUCUAUAAAACAAGCGCGUCCUUUCGAAACAUCAUUGCAAAGUUAUUUCCCCUUUUCCAGCGUUUCUAACUGUCUUCGUCUAGGCUUUCCGAUUUUCUUUGAUAAAUGAGAAAACGGUGUUUGGUAAAAAGUAUAAACAGAUUGUAAUGAGGUGUCUGUAUGAUGAUGUCUAUAUAGCAGUGCGUGAAAGGAUUCGAAUACCUGUAGAAAUCUGGCUGCUCACGUGCUAUUAUGGAUUUCCGUGGAAGACAGACAAAAGAAAGACGAGGAGAGGUGGAAAAGGGAAAGAGAAAGAGGGUAAAGGAAAAGCGAAGCGAAACGAGACGAAAAGAGGAUCAGUGUUGGCAUACUCGGGAGCAGACACAGCGCAGCGAGUGAACGCGUGAGACGGGAACCGGAAGUCUAUUUUCGUGAGCCGCACCGAUUUAGAAAGCUUUAUAGUUUGUACGAACCUCAGCGGCUAACAGCCAACCGCCGUCGUUGGUGUGGCUCGCUGCUUUAAGUGCAUGCACAAAAUGAGAUUUGUGCGACAUUCUUUCUCCCUUGCUCUCUCUUUCGAGACCUAUACUACUAUAAAUAUUAGGGAAUAUUGGCUCGUUUAAAAAGUAACGAAAGAAUUUUUUUUAAAUUUGGAUCGUAUG